AACUAUGUAUGUGUGUACCAACUACUGAUCUAGAGAUUGGUACGGAUAAACACAGAUGAUUUCCGAUUUCCAAAAUCGGGGGUCCACAGUUUGUUAGCCUUGCAAGGAAACGAAACAAAGGUAGUCCCAAGUUUUGGAGCCACACUGUUUUCUGUUUGGAAGAUCGUUUGUAUCAUGCGCUUCGUGCUCUUCGUUUCCUUUGCAUUCAUCCGGUGCUCCCAUCAUGCUAUGAGAUUCUCAGAAAGGUUUUGAACAGAUGAGAAUUUACGCGUUUGUGAACUCGCCCCGUUCCUUCACACUCCCUCCGUCCUGAAAUAUAAAAGAUUUUGGUUAGAUAGGAUAUAUCUCAUUCAAUCAGAAUCCCUUAUAUUUUGGAGGAGAAAUUGACACCAUUAGCCACAAAACUAUUGCAACUUUGAUAACCAAUAAUUUUUAAUGAUUAGAUUAUAGUAAAUAAAUGUUUAGUGCUUAUGUAUAGUAUGUAUACACAGAUAAUAUGACACUUAUUUUUAAGUAUUUAGAUUUUUUUAAAAAAAAUACAAUGGUUAAGAGUUUAAAUAUAAAUAAUGCUUGGUGACAAAUUAUAAAGAAACGGAGGGAGUAAUUAGCAAUCUUUACUGUUCUUGAUAUAUUCAAUUGAGAUGCCAAGGAAAAUUGUUGUUAUACUAUCUUAAUAUAUUCUACCCCUGUUCGGGAAAAAUGGUGGCAAUACAAAUUCAAUUGAGCACACAUCGCGUGACCUCAAAUAAAACCUUCAAUUGAGCGCACACGUGGACUCCGAGUAGCGUUUGCAAGUUGGGAGAAGAAACUAUAAUGUUCAUCAACAUUUAUAUGCGUUUUCAUCAGCGAGAAAUUUUGACUGAACUUUUUAAAAAACAAAAUAAGCAAGGGCACUAGUUUCACGGAAACAAGUAUUUGCCAGCCAGCUGCCAGCUUGAGAAGGUAAACAAACAGAGCUGGCUCUCAUAUAUUCCAGAGACAUGGAUGAUCAUAUGCAAUCUAACUGGUACACCAAAUGGAUUUGAGAAUCUCUUAUCUGGGCACAGAUAGAUCUGAUUCGUGCAAUCCAUUUAGACCUCACUGACAUCUUUUCAAUGACAACUAGCUAAUGCAAUAAUGACAGUUUAGACGGCCCAUGAGAGGAGGGGCUUAACGUCUCCAGCAAUUUUUUCAUGGACAUGCUUGCCGUGCCAAAAAGCAAUACACAGAUUUGCGACAAAGUUCAGGAGAUUCUCACCUUGGUCUGCUUCAACAACCAACAUGGCAUGUCGAUGCGUUUCGGAAAAGCUUUGUCUGAGGUUUUCUGAAACAGAAAAAGGGGAAUUGCAAGGCAUGUCCCACAAAUUUUUGAGGCGCAAGUCACUUUAUUCCCAUCACUAGAGAUUUGACAGCCCAAUGUUAAGACUACUAUUACACUAGAAAAAAUAUAUACGCAUACACAGAAACCUGAUAGUCUAUAAUGCUAUCUCAGUGAGUUCUUAUAUGGUAUCCACGGUGCAAUCUAUCUUCUUUUGCUAAAGUUUUAUAUGACAAAAGUAACGAAAUUCAAUGUGAAAAUAAACAGGCUAAAAUUCAAGGUGAAAACAGAAGACAUAGAGGGUGCGCGUACUACCUUGAUCGCCAGUCGCCAGCUCUCUGGCUCAUUCAGGACAGCAGCUUGGAGCAUCUCCUCAUUUGCUCUUUACAGGCUUACUCUGGUUCAACUUUAUCCCUGCACUCCAGGUAACGGCUGCAAGAAUCCUUGCAGGGCACAAUGAGCUCCGCUAUCUGUUUCCGCAAACCCAAAGAGAAUGCAAGAAUUCAUUUUCAGCUUGCUGUAAUUCAAGUUCACGAGUUUGCCAUCAUGGAGUACUCAGAUACUGAUCAGGUCUAGCAAUGCAAUUCCUGUUGUGUUUUGCUUCAGUUCAAGUGAAACCUUCGUCUGAGGCUCUGAGCACACCUGCAAUAUGAAUGAACUUAGACUUGAGACAAAUAAUGGCAAUUGGCAAAAGCAAACAAAGUAAUUUCCUGUUCAGUUGUCUAAGAUCUGACAGUUAUUCUUUUUUAUUUCAAGUCUAUUCUGUACUACCACCUAAAACUGUGAAUUGAAAUAUAUUUAUGGUACAUUCCUUGUAAGCCACUAGAAUUUUGCUCAAUGCCUUAUUUGCCAAUUUAGCUCAGGUCAUAUCAGUGGCAAAUAAGAUGGUAGCGUGAAAGCAACUCUACUAAACAAGAAUUGGUCCACAUAUAUUCUAUGCUGUUGAAAGCAUAACCCUCUCAGUCUCAGGUGAAACCUCCAUCUGAGAAGGCCUGCAAUAUGAAUGAAAUUAGACUUGUGACAAAUAAUGCUAAUUGGCAAAAAAAAAAAGCAACCAAAGUAAUUUCCUGUCAGGUGCUCGGGUUGUCUAAGAUCUGACAAGCUCUUCUUUUAUGACAGACUAUAUAGCACAUCUGAAAUUGUGGAAAUAUAUUCACGAUAAAUUCCUCGUGAGCCACAAAAAUUUUGCUCAAUGCCUUCUUUGCCAAUCUAUUCUCAGGUUAUAAUGGUUAUCAUGCAUGUCUUGCCCACAAUAAUUGCUACUUCUCAAAAUGUUUUUUCUUAAUGUAACAAUUAGUCCACAGAGAAUGCAACUGCAUCCUAGAGAUAAAAGAUCUUAUUUGAGGACACUACAGUUGUAUGAAUUGUGAUGAAGAUAAUUUUGUAGGAUCAAAGUAAAUUUCCAGGCUUCCAACCAAAGAAAAAGAGUGCGUUUUGAAUAGUGAGCAAUAAAAGCUUUUCCAGUUUCUCUAUGCUCCAAUAUACUCCAUGACAACACUAGAUCAACAGGAGAAACCCAGGAAAUAACAGUCAAACUCAACAUGUUCUAUUUCAGCCUUUGUUUUUUACAGGAAAGGGGGAAUUCUAAUGCAUAAAGUGGAAACUAACAUAUCAGCUUAGCAUCUAGGGAGGCACUCGAGAAUUAAGACAUCCUACAUUGACUUCUCUUCUAAGUCUCAACAUAUAUAUGAAAAAAUUGUGCUCCCUGUAUUACAUUGUAUCCCUUAUCUAUUACGGGCUUUAUGGUAACAACCAAAACACAUGUCCAACAGAAUAUCUCGCUAACAGUCUGAAACUUGACACCCCCAAAAUGAUUCAACCAUGACAAUAAAGCAAUGGUAAUAAAAUUUAUAGGUGGUACUGAAGUAACAUAGAAUCCCUUUUGCAAGAAUCAGUUUAUCCUGCACGUAACAAAUAAAGAUCACCAUCUAGCAACAAGGCAAAAAGAAAAGGCACGAUUUCCAAGGGAGGUUACCAUUCUGAAGUCGGAAACACAAGAGAAAAAAACAACUGUGUCAUGUAAUUUAUUGAGGAGUGCUGCAGCAAAUAGUGUGUACAUCAGCUGUAAGGUGAAACAGGCUAGUGCUAAAUGUCUGAGUCAGCAAUGCACUCAUCUUCACACAAGUAUCUGAAACAUCAUUUGAUGUCAUAAAACUAAGAGAACAUGCAGUUAAUGACACCUGAUAAGCGAUACUGCAUAUGGUUGCAGAAAAAAAUGCACAUAUAUACUUCUGCUUUAAAUACUGAGUUCUGACACAGUCUGAGUUACUACGGCAGGGGUCAACUGUUUAUUGGACUAAUGGCUUCGAUAAAGAGAUGUCAAAACUAAAGAUGACAGUAUAAGAGGACAGAUAUAGCACAGUUUUUAAAUAUCUUUGAUCCACAUAACAUGAUACUCCAAUAUAUUCUGUAUUUUCUUUAAAAUCGCUCACUGAAAAUAGUGGCAGUCAUACCAGUAGUGUCAAGUAAUGUGAAUCCAAUUAAGAGGUAUUCCACCACAUUCAUGUCAACAUUUCUUGAUGUGGUCAACAACCAUUCUGUGCUUUCAUGUUUGUUUAAAUGGGAAUAAAAGAGCAUGGGACCUGACACCACACAAAUUGAAGCUCCACACACAUAACUUUCUGAUCACGGAAAGUGCAGUAAUACAAACACAAAACGUAGUUCUAAUUCAAAGUUUCUCUUAUAUCUAUUGAAGAGGGGUUAUGUCCCUUUAGGUAUGUCAAAGAGACAUGUCCAGUGGAAAGUUGACAGUAAUACCAAUAAGCAGCAACUACCAAAUAUAAUUGCUAGAAGUAAACCCAGGAGCACAAUACCUGGUACAACUAACAUGUGCAAGGGCGCUGUUCCAAACUUUGUCCUGAAAAAAAAAUGUGAAAG
rnacentral:lncRNA from 1 species